CUUCUGACCCCAGUUGAUCCGCCCGCCUCAGCCUCCCAAAGUGCUGGUAUUACAGGCAUGAGCCACCAUGCCCGUCCAGGAAAGGUGUUACAAAUGGUUGCAGUGUGUGAUGAAGGAAAGAACUGGGGCUCGGGAAGGGCGGGACUGUGAAGCUGGAACACAGGCUGGCGGCAGCAGGGAAGAGUUUCGCUGGCCAGGCUGACGCUGAGGCGAUGGGGUGCUGCUGAAGGACGUGAAAGCAGAAGAGAUAGGUGGUCAGAUCUAGACCUGAGGAACGACAUCACCCACGCCAGGUCGGGGAUGGAGGUAGCCAUGGCAGGCAUGAGCAGGAGGACUGGACCCAGGGGUUCAGCUUCAGGCCCUGGUAACGUUUGUGAAGACAGAGGGUCGGGGAACUGAAGGGCCAGCACCUUCUUACCUGUGGGGCCCCUCAGCACUUCAGUGGUUUAUCUCCUGCUCUCUGGGGAGGGGAAGACAAGAAAAAAGGACACCAUCCUUAGAGCUUCACCCAGUGGAAGACAGCAACUCACCCUGGACCUGAGCUGAGGCCGGAGUAGCCAUGGAAGGAGGAGAUUCUUGUCCUGGGUCCCCAAAGUGCUCUCAACUCACCCUGCAUCAGGCACCAGCCACAGGGCCCUGGGAAACCACUCGGGGCUGGUCUGCCCUGUUGGGGUGGAGAAAGGGAACUAGGCAACAGAACUGAAGCAUUGGAUUAGCAGCUCAGGAUACCGCCUUCAAACAAGGUAGCUGGCCGAGCACGGUGGCUCAUGCCUGUAAUCUGAGCACUUUGGGAGGUCGAGGUGGGUGGAUCACCUGAGGUCAGGAGUUCGAGACCAGCCUGGCUAACAUGGUGAAACCCCCUCUCUACUAAAAAUACAAAAAUCAGCCAGGUGUGGUGGCGCGUGCCUGUAAUCCCAGCUACUUGGGAGGCUGAAGCAGGAGAAUCACUUGAACCUGGGAGGUGGAGGUUGCAGUAAGCCAAGAUCACACCACUGCACUCCAGCCUGGGUGACAAGAGCGAGACUCCGUCUCAAAAAAAAACAAAAAAACCCAAACCCUCCCUCCCCCCCAAAAAAAACAAAGUAGCUAAGGUAGAGAGAAGGACCUUCCCACUUCGGCUUAUCUAGACACUAUACUGCACAAACACACCUACAAAGGAAUUCCCCAAAAUAGGCAGAGAAGUUGUUGGACAAUCAACAAAAUGACAAAUGCCCCUGCGGUGCACUGUUUUACAUGCCCAACAGUCAUCUAUAUCCUAUUCUCUGUCUUCAAAAAACAGCAACAACAUAUCUGGCCUAUGUAGUAUAGUGAGUCUAUCCCUCUUUCUGUCAAAAAUACAUUCACUCGGCCGGGCACGGUGGCUCACGCCUGUAAUUCCAACACUUUGGGAGGCCGAGGUGGGUGGAUCACCUGAGGUCAGGUCAGGAAUUCAAGACCAGCCUGGCCAAGAUGGUGAAACCCCGUGUCUAUUAAAAAUACAAAAAUUAGCCGGGCGUGGUGGUGGGUGCCUAUAAUCCCAGCUACUCAGGAGGCUGAGGCAGGAGAAUCGCUUGGACCUGGGAUGCAGAGGUUGCAGUGAGCAGAGAUCAUGCCACUGCACUCCAGCCCAGGCAAUAGAGCAAGACUCCGUCUCAAAAAAAAAAAAAAAAAAAUUCACUCUCUCCGAAGGGAGACAAGUCAAAGUCUUGCUAAUUAUCAUAUCCACUCCCAAGUCUAGCGUUUCUGGAUGAUGUCCAUUCCUCCUGCAAUUCCCUUAUCAUCCAUCUCAACAUUUUGCAACCUAUGAACUGUAUCGUAAAGUUAAUUACUACCAAUACACCCUAUGUACAGGAGCAGAGGGAAAUAAAGAAGAAUGAAGAAUUAAAAUCUAUUAAAGGCCAGGAGAAUGGCUCACACCUGUAAUCCCAACACUUUGGGAGGCCACGGCGAGUGGAUCACCUGAGAUCAGGAGUUUGAGACUGGCCUGGCCAACAUGGUGAAACCCCGUCCCUACUAAUAAUACAAAAAUUAGCCAGGCGUGGUGGCACGUGCCUGUGAUCCCAGCUACUCGGGAAGCUGAGGCAGGAGAAUCUGGGAGGCAGAGGUUGCAGUGAGCUGAGAUCAUGCUAUUGCACUCUAGCCUGGACAACAAGAGCAAAACUCCUUCUCAAAAAAAAAAAUCUAUUAAAAAUAUACUAACUGA